rnacentral:misc_RNA from 1 species
GGGGAUAUUGAUAUGAGAGAAGAGCUCCUCUCUUAUUAGUUAUUACAUACUUUAUUUAAAGAGACUUAGCUUUAGAGCUUGAGGAAGAGAAAAACAUUAAAUCUCACAACAAUAUAAUGGUAUCAAGGGAGCAGAAAAGAGCCUCAGUAUUGCAUGACAAAUUGCAACUUCUUCGAUCAAUCACUAAAUCUCAUGCUCUUAGUGAAAGCUCAAUCAUUGUAGAUGCAUCAAAAUAUAUUCAAGAACUCAAACACAAAGUGGAAAGGCUAAAUCAAGACAUAACUACUACUACCCCUCAAACUAAUUCAAACAACAACACUUCUUCAUGGCCACAAAUUGAAGUGGAAACCCUAGAAAAAGGUUUCUUAGUAAAUGUAUAUUCAGAAAGAAGUUGCCCUGGUUUGCUUGUUUCCAUAUUACAAGUUCUUGAAGACCUUGGCCUUAACGUACUUGAAGCUAGGGUUUCUUGCACCGACACCUUUCGUUUACAAGCAUUUGGUGGAGAGGAUGAAGAAACCAUGAUUAAUGCCCAAGUGGUGACAGAGGCAGUUUUUGAAGCUAUUAAGAACUGGAGUGAAAGCAAAGAACAAGGCUAAUUAAUCAAAUAUAUAAUAUAGUUUAAUUAGCUAUUAUUAAUUAUUACUAUAUUCACUCUUUCGUUUUUCUCUUUAAUUUUAACUUUCCCGAUCAUCU